GCCUCACUGGCUCAGUUGGAAGAGCAUGUGACUCUUGAUCGCGGGGUUGUGAGUUCGAGCUCCACAUGGGGUG
rfam:Felis catus isolate Cinnamon breed Abyssinian chromosome F1, whole genome shotgun sequence.